GCUGAUUCCAUAGUUCUAUAACGUCUUUCCUCUGUUUCAAAUUCCCGAUCCACCGUUCGCUCAACAUGACCCGUCUUCAUCAUAACCUACCACAAUGUUAGACAAUUCUUCAACACUCAAAUACAUACCGAGGUACCCGCUCGGUUAACGGCCUUUUUGAAUCCAUGCCAACUCAUUUUUGUGAUAUGGAAAAGAGAAGCGUCGGCAUACCCAGAUAUCUUAUGUCAGUUGAUCGCUGCGCUAAUGUUCGCUAGCUAAGCUGCAUUGGAUCUUUUAGUGGAUUCAGCAGGAUUCGCGUAGGGAACAAUUCACGGAAGCAAAGCCAUAACGUAAAGCCUGAUUGCGAAGUUUAUCAUUGCGUUAAAUAGAAUAAUGAUAGUUUAUUUCACAAUGCAAUUAUAAAAAGAUAAGGAUGAAAAGCGUGUCGUUAAUUUU